rnacentral:rRNA from 1 species
GACGUAGGGUGCGGGCGUUGUCCGGAUUUAUUGGGCGUAAAGAGCUCGUAGGCGGCUCGUCGCGUCGACCGUGAAAACCCGCGGCUUAACUGCGGGCUUGCGGUUGAUACGGGCGGGCUAGAGUUCGGUAGGGGAGACUGGAAUUCCUGGUGUAGCGGUGAAAUGCGCAGAUAUCAGGAGGAACACCGGUGGCGAAGGCGGGUCUCUGGGCCGAUACUGACGCUGAGGAGCGAAAGCGUGGGGAGCGAACAGG